GGUGGCUCAGUGAUAGAGUGCUUGCCUCGCAUGCAUGAGGGUUUGGGUUCGAUUCCUCAGCACCA
rfam:Dipodomys ordii contig_22659, whole genome shotgun sequence.